AUGACAAUCUUUACCACUGCAGGUGCUGUAAGUGUCAUGUGUCAUGUUGUGUCUUGUUUCUGUCCUUUCCCUUCACCCUGUCUCCCUCUGCUGGUCGUUAUUAGGUUACCUUUUCUCCCCCUCUUUCCCCCAGCUGUUCCUUGUCUCCUCCUAACUACUCUCCCCCUCUUUCCCCCAGCUGUUCCUUGUCUCCUCCUAACUACCUCGUCACCCCUUUUCCCACCUGUUCCCUUUUUCCCUCUGAUUAGUCCUCUAUAUCUCUCUCUGUUUUUGCUCCUGUCUUUGUCGGAUUCUUGUUUGUGUUUUUCAUGCCUGAACCAGACUAUCGUCAUGUUUGCUGCAACCUUGUCCUGUCCUGUCGGAAUCUGCCGGUCCAUCUGAGCCUACCUAUGUUUUGUUAUUAAAGAAGCUCUGUUUACGUUAAUUCGCUUUUGGGUCCUCAUUCACGCACCGUAACAGUAAGGAGUACCGUAUUUGUGGACCAGACCAAAUCUAUCCCAACACCCCCUCCCGGUGUAUCUGGAUGUUCCCUCAAUCUCUGGAAUUCAGCCCACGCCCUUGAUUAUCUCUGCUUUUACCUGAGGAUAUACACACUGCAACACAUGGGUUAUUUCCUGACAACAUCAUUUGUGACAUUUGAAUAACCGCAUCCCCUGUCCUCCCAUCGGUCCCCCAGUUACCAGUUACCAAUCCAUGUGGCAUGAUUCUUCAUAAACUGAUAUCCCAACAAUGCUACCAAAGUGACCCCUGCUACUACUAACAUGACUCGUGCCUAUAAUCUCCUUCAAUUGCGAUCCCUUCGGCAACUGCUGUGAGAAUAACUACUGACCGUAAUCAAUCAAGUGUUCGCCGGCUGUUAGAAAUUGGGAAAGAGAUUAAUAAGUUGGAAGAAUAUUCAACAUACAUAUCAUUCCAUCUAACCCAUAACACACUAGUCACUACUCCUAAUGCACUUCUACAGUUAUAAACAUACUAAUACAUUCUCAAAUCAUUAAGUCAAUAUAAAUCAAUCCCUCCUCUGGAACAAUGAUCACUCUCAUGUUCCACAAAACCUUAAAACACAUUGACUUAACAAGAAAAGAGAAAAAAAUCGAAAUAAAUAUUUGUUUAAUAACUUCCUUAAUGCAACUAAAACUGGGGGGAAACGUCCAUCCGUUACGUUCUAUGUCCAUGUCAUGCUGGUCUUCACGCCGUCUCCUUCAUCUCCAUCCUUGGGUGUUAUUACAAAAUACAGACUAUGAACCUUAUGCAAUUACUUGUAUUCUAUCACCCAGACAUCUCUGUUUAUCAAUACAAUGUAACAUUACAAUUAUAAAGACAUAAUAAAACAAAAGAAACAAAAACCUUUAUGUUAACCCAAGCUAUCAUCCAGUAAGUUCUGACAAUUUAGAGAUAACGUUUCCAGAGCUUCCCUAGGCCUAAUACAUUUAAACAGUGCCAAUAACCCUCACCUGUUCAAAAGCAACUCUCUCUUGCUUUAUCCAAACCAUAACUAAAACAUUUUAUGAAUUUGGGCUGGAUAAUUCAUAUAAUGUUUUAAGAUGUUUUAGUUAAUAAUAGUCCUUAGUGCUUACUUUAACUCAAAUUCAAACUUCUCAUUUUAGCACACAUCAUCCCUAUUAAAAUGUAAAUUUAUAAAAUAAAAAAUAAAACUUUUAGUACAAGUAAUAACUAUUCUCAUUUACAGCCCCCUUUGUCCCUGUUUUCCUGUCAUGAGUGGCCUGGAAAUGAUAGAUCAGUAACUCAAUGCAUACUUUAGUCCAAACUGUUGGCAUUGUGUAGACUCAGAAGUGCUUAAAAGUCACUGUCGUAUUGCACGCCCUUGACGCUCUUUCUCCAGCCGGUUACGGAGGGCUUUGAGGUGAACACACACUGUUUGUGGUCAAAUUAUUCCUACCAGGCAUUAAGACACAAUCUGACGUCACCUUCCAUGAUAACUCCUUUAUUCUACUGGCUACCUCUCAGAAGAGUUACCAGAUCAUGAAGUUAUCUAACCCCUCCUAGGAUCCCAUACUCCAUAAAUCCCAAUCUGGUGAAAUUUGUAUCGAAAAAAAAAUAAAAAAUGAAAUCAUCAAUACAUGGUAUCACAAUCCAUUUGGAGUAACUGUCAUCCCUUGUUAACAUAUAUUUUCCCUUCUAUAUGCAGACUGAACAAAGUAUAUUUGUAUAUUUACCCAAAGACCAUAACCACAGGGAACUGGCAAUUGUCCCUUUGAACACGUGAUUCAAAAACAACAUGUUAAAAAAUAAACAAUAUUCCAUUAACUAGUCAGUUUAGAUUACAACUCCUCAUAAUUUCCUAACAAAAUAAUAGAAUUUCAAAGUAAUGGUACGAUUUGAAUAGAGACUGGUGUUUUUCAUCCAUUUUAUAAUUGAAUCCCACCUGUUUCGAUCAUUUCUAAUGAGAUUGAUCAGGUCUCAUAGGAAAGUAAUCGACACCAUUAAAAUAUUUCCUCUCCCUCUUCUUUCCCUGACCUUCUGAAACCAUUUAAAUACCUUUCAAAAACAUUCCCAUCAUCCUGCAUACCCAAUGUGAAACUGAAUUGAAAACACCCCAUACAAAAUAAAUCCCACAGUGUCAACACCACUAACCCAUAUUCAUAACCAGUAAAUUGGUGUGUAUGUGCGUGCUGGUGUAUGUGUGUGUUAAACCAUUUGUCGAAAAUCAACAGAAAUGGCCAGGCCUUCCCAUGCUUUAUUCAGCAUGCAGUACCCUUAGUCCCAGUACACACCCAUAUGAUAUUAUAUGAUUGGUCUCUCACUGUCAUAAUCAUGUACAAAUAUUCUGGUAUUGUUAAUAGACCAAUUUCCAAUCAACACAUUUAACAUCUGUUUCACCUUAGCGUCACGCCCUGACCAUAAAGAGCCUUUUUAUCCUCUAUUUUGGUUAGGUCGGGGUGUGACUAGGGUGGGAAAUCUAGGUUGUUU
rnacentral:lncRNA from 13 species